rnacentral:sRNA from 1 species
GAUUCCAUGCCUCUGUCCCCAUCCGGGCCUUACUUUUCUCAUCCGUAGAAUGGGUACAGGACAAUGUCCUUCACUGAGGGUGAGGCCAAGACCCAGGUGCACAAGUUCCUGGACAAGAACCACGACCAAGUGCGCCAGGAUGUGCUGGACCUGUUUGUACGGAGCCGGACACGGUCUCCCGGCCCCUGCCUGUUUUCCCUGCCCCGACCCCUGCCCAGGUGGUGGCACACCUCUUCUCCAGCCAUGCCCCACAGGCUGCCCCUCAGCGCCUGGGCAAGAGCAGCUCCGUCACUCGGCUCUACAAGGCGCACACCGUGGCCGCCAAGUUCCAGCAGUCACUCCUGGAUCUGGUGGAAAAGAUGGAGAGGUGUAACCCCUUGUUCAUGCGUUGCCUGAAGCCCAACCACAAGAAGGAGCCAGGUCUCUUUGAGCCAGAUGUGGUAAUGGCACAAUUACGCUAUUCAGGGGUGCUGGAGACGGUGAGGAUCCGCAAGGAGGGAUUUCCAGUGCGCCUGCCUUUCCAGGGGUUCAUUGACAGGUACUGCUGUCUAGUGGCCCUCAAGCAUGACCUGCCGGCUAAUGGGGACAUGUGUGUGUCAGUGCUGAGUCGCCUGUGUAAAGUCAUGCCAAACAUGUACCGUGUUGGGGUCAGCAAGCUGUUCCUUAAGGAACACCUAUACCAGCUGCUGGAGAGUAUGCGAGAGCAUGUCCUGAA